UUGUGGCUCAUCGUGCCGAGGGGGUGUAACAAGGAAAGAUGCAUAACAGUGCAAUUACAUCGCUAUAUAUCAAUAAUAUUAUUGGUGUUCUAAAUUUCCAACUCUUACUUUUUUAUCUUUAGUCUGUCUACAUAAUUAAUGUUCUUCAAAACAAUUUUAAGAUCAGGAGGACAACUUUUUUCAGACAUCACAAUAAGCCUCUCUUUUUUUAGUUAGGUGUGAAGCAACCUUCAUUUUAAACAUCGAACUUGUUAAUUAUUCCUUGUUACGGCGCAAUAUUGUCUUUGAAGUGAAUAAAUCUAAUUUUCUCCAACUGCGUCACUCUUAGAUCCCUUUUUCUUGUUUUAGUUUCCAUAAUUUGCUGUGCUGUUACUGUGGUAAUUUAUUAAUUCCGAAGUCGUAACUGCAGAAGCUGCGUGGUGCUUGCCCAUAAAUGCAUCUUUCUUUGGCGAAACAAGGUCAAACUUAAGGACCACUGCAUCAAAAAUUUUCCAUUUAAAAUUAUUAUUUGUACGUCUGUUUCCCGAUGCUGUUGUCGAUUACGUAAUUUUUUAGUCUUGUUUAAGUUGGAGUAUUCUAGAUGAAAAAAUUCUGCUUUCAAAGAUGAGGGCUUUAAAUCCUCGGAGCAGUCUUCCUUGAAAUGGUCUGGAAUUAAGUUGCGGGCAUGCAUCCGGAGGAGUAUAACCAGUGCAGUUGGUAAAGCACCGCUGAAUAAACCAAUAGCAGGCACCCAUCGAGUACUGCAGACAAUACGCUGCUUUCUGUGGAGUCCGGACGGAAAGAUGGAGCACCAUACGUCGUACACCAGUUUCUGGUAUUUUCAAAAACAUAUCGUCCUGAUGAUGGAGGCAGCAAGCACGCUUGACAUGCCGGUCAGUUCCUGUGCAACGUCCGAAGUUUCCGUAAGAACGUGAAGUCUCAUCGAACUGUUUUGCCACUUCCGACCAUUUGCCCGCUUGUAAUCGGAUCCAACACAGAAUUUUGUCGGUAGGUGUAGACAUUAUAUACUACUUACUUCAGAUUCCUAACAAGAAAAUUUAAAGUAGGGGAGAAGGGAGCUAGUUGUUAUGCGGGCAAGUUGUUAUAUUUUAGUUUAAAAAUCACUCAUUUGCAGCAGCAUCUCAUGAGUCAGCAGCUGAUGAAGUAUCUUCUGGAAGAAUCUCGUUAAGGCAAAUUGCUAAUAUAUGAUGAAAAUGUUUAUGUUUGAAGUUAAUUUCUGUAAUUAAUUGUUAAUUGGCAUAUUGUCUGUAAUUAAUUACUUCUGUUUACUAAUACAGUGUGUUGUAACAAAUUUCCCCUUCACUGUUACAAACCGCCUUCUCUUAAAUAAACAAGUUUUGUGAUGAAACAAAAAUGAA